UAGGGAAUCUUCCACAAUGGACGCAAGUCUGAUGGAGCAACGCCGCGUGAGUGAAGAAGGUUUUCGGACCGUAAAGCUCUGUUGUUGGUGAAGAAGGAUAGAGGUAGUAACUGGCCUUUAUUUGACGGUAAUCAACCAGAAAGUCACGGCUAACUACGUGCCAGCAGCCGCGGUAAUACGUAGGUGGCAAGCGUUGUCCGGAUUUAUUGGGCGUAAAGCGAGCGCAGGCGGAAGAAUAAGUCUGAUGUGAAAGCCCUCGGCUUAACCGAGGAAUUGCAUCGGAAACUGUUUUCUUGAGUGCAGAAGAGGAGAGUAGAACUCCAUGUGUAGCGGUGGAAUGCGUAGAUAUAUGGAAGAAUACCAGUGGCGAAGGCGGCUCUCUGGUCUGCAACUGACGCUGAGGCUCGAAAGCAUGGGUAGCGAACAGGAUUAGAUACCCUGGUAGUCCAUGCCGUAAACGAUGAGUGCUAAGUGUUGGGAGGCUUCCGCCUGCUCAGUGCUGCAGCUAACGCAUU
rnacentral:rRNA from 1 species